CCUACGGGGGGCAGCAGUGGGGGAUAUUGCACAAUGGGGGGAACCCUGAUGCAGCGACGCCGCGUGGGUGAAGAAGCGCCUCGGCGCGUAAAGCCCUGUCAGCAGGGAAGAAAAUGACGGUACCCGAAGAAAAAGCAUCGGCUAACUCCGUGCCAGCAGCCGCGGUAAUACGGAGGAUGCGAGCGUUAUCCGGAUUUAUUGGGUUUAAAGGGUGCGUAGGCGGUCCGGAAAGUCAGCGGUAAAAGCCCGGGGCUCAACCCCGGCGAGCCGUUGAAACUGUCGGACUAGAGACGGCGAGAAGUACGCGGAAUGCGCGGUGUAGCGGUGAAAUGCAUAGAUAUCGCGCAGAACUCCGAUUGCGAAGGCAGCGUACCGGCGCCGGACUGACGCUGAGGCACGAAAGCGUGGGUAUCGAACAGGAUUAGAUACCCGAGUAGUC
rnacentral:rRNA from 1 species